AACGAACGCUGGCGGCAGGCUUAACACAUGCAAGUCGAACGCAUCGCAAGAUGAGUGGCAGACGGGUGAGUAACGCGUGGGAACAUACCCUUUUCUACGGAAUAGCUCUGGGAAACUGGAAUUAAUACCAUAUACGCCCUACGGGGGAAAGAUUUAUCGGGGAAGGAUUGGCCCGCGUUGGAUUAGCUAGUUGGUGGGGUAAAGGCCUACCAAGGCGACGAUCCAUAGCUGGUCUGAGAGGAUGAUCAGCCAGACUGGGACUGCGAGACGGCCCAGACUCCUACGGGAGGCAGCAGUUAGGAAUUUUGGGCAAUGGGCGGAAGCCUGACCCAGCAACGCCGCGUGGGUGACGAAGGCCCUCGGGUCGUAAAGCCCUUUUCCCAGGGAAGAUAGUGACGGUACCUGGGGAAUCAGCCCCGGCUAACUACGUGCCAGCCGCCGCGGUAAGAC
rnacentral:rRNA from 1 species